rnacentral:rRNA from 1 species
UACGUAGGUGGCAAGCGUUAUCCGGAUUUACUGGGUGUAAAGGGCGUGUAGGCGGGAAUGCAAGUCAGAUGUGAAAACUAUGGGCUCAACCCAUAGCCUGCAUUUGAAACUGUAUUUCUUGAGUGCUGGAGAGGCAAUCGGAAUUCCGUGUGUAGCGGUGAAAUGCGUAGAUAUACGGAGGAACACCAGAGGCGAAGGCGGCUAACUGGACUGUAACUGACGCUGAGGCACGAAAGUGUGGGGAGCAAACAGG